rnacentral:rRNA from 1 species
AUGGGUCGCGACAAGUCACGGAGGCUGUCGGGCAGCCGAGACUUCCGGCAGCGGCUGGUGCUGGCGACGCUGACCUCCACCCCGAUCACCAUCAAGGACAUCCGCACCGGCGAGGGGGGCCUCCGCCCGCACGAGAUGUCCCUCCUCCACCUCAUCCACAAGGUCUCGGACCAGCACGUCAUCGACGUCAACGACACAGGGACCAAGGUCGGGUACAAGCCCGGGGUGGUCGUCGGCGGGAAGGACCUGGAGCACGACUGCGGGGCGCACCGCGGGAUCGGCUACUUCAUCGAGCCGCUCCUUCUGCUCGGCCUCUUCGCCAGGUCGCCCUUGUCGAUUCGGCUCAAAGGAAUCACAAAUGAUACAAAGGACCCUUCUGUGGAUACUUUCCGGAUGGUUACGUUGCAUAUGCUCAAGCACUUUGGCGUUCCUCUUGAGGGGCUGGAGCUCAAAAUUGAAAGCCGGGGAGCUCCUCCUCGUGGUGGUGGCGAAGUGCUUCUCCGAGUUCCCAAUAUAAACAGUACACUAAAGGCAGUUAAUUGGAUUGAUGAAGGAAUGGUAAAGAGGAUAAGAGGUGUAGCAUUCUCAACGAAUGUAUCUGCACAGAUUGUAACCCGUAUCUUCUAUGCUGCACGUGGACUCUUCAAUAAGUUCAUUCCGGAUGUUCAUAUCUUCACCGAUCAUAGAGCUAGUUCAUCUGGUGGAUGUGGAUUGUCAGCAGGCUAUGGCGUAUCUGUAGUUGCUGAGACCACAACAGGCUGUCUGAUUUCUGCAGAUGCUACUGUGAGCUAUCCCAAUGUUGAUGAAAUGAGUGAACAAUCUGAGAAGCCUGAGCUAAUGUCUCCAGAGGAUCUUGGUGAGCAAGUUGCAUCGAUGCUGCUAGAAGAGGUGGCUCAAGGAGGAGUUGUUGACUCAACACACCAGGGCCUUCUGUUCAUGCUGUGCGCUCUGUGCCCGCCCGAUGUGUCAAAGGUUCGCGUGGGACAGCUGACACUGCGCGCUAUAGAAUCACUUCGAAACAUCAAGGAGUUCCUUGAUGUCAAGUUCAUCAUCAAGCCCGACCCAAACUCAAACACGGUCACUCUAAAAUGUGUUGGUGCGGGAGUGAAGAAUCUUGCUCGGAAGAUUUCAUAA